GGGCAAAGCAAAACAUUUAAUUUGACAUAGUCCUGCCCACCUGCCAAAGUGACUCUCCCACUUGUCAUCCCAUCCACCUGUCAAAGUGGCCCCUGGUAGUUGGGGACGUCAGAAUCUGGCUCCGCACAAAUCCAGUUCUCCACUGCUAGUGCGGACAACACCCAAGCUAAAUGGACCAGUGGUAUAAGACAGCAUCUUGUGUCCUGUCCCCCCCGGAAAAUCCCAACAAAUGUUCUAAAAAUUAAGAUGGAUUGCAAUUAUUAUUAUUUUUUUAAAAAGAAAAAACUAUAUUAUAGCCGGAUUCAUUUGCAAAUAAUUCUGCUUGUGAUGUGGGCUACAUUUGCUCCUUGCUGCUAUCUUCUGAAGCAAUUCAUGACCUCAUUUUGAUAGACCCUAUUGUGUGACUUGGAUGUUCUCCAGAUGGAGGGAAUCCUCAUGAGGUUUGCAGGUCAUAGGCAGAUGUUUGUGAUUCUUCACCAGUCUCAGGGCUGCCUAUUCUCUGAUAAGCAGAUGAUCACUCAAAAGGCUAUGAUCCCUGAUGUGGACAGAGGGUGCUGCGUUUUCAGCCCGACAAGCAAUGUCAAACUAAGGCCAGCAGUGUAGGCAUGUGUUGCAUCAUGUAUCUAAGUGUGCCAUAUUCAUUUCUUGACAAGGCUUAUUUUGAAUGAACUCUGCCAGAACUCAACCCUGGAACAUGUGAAUGAAUUAACAGAAGAUGUGCUGAAUUCCUUUACAUUACUAGUUUCUCAUGGACUGGCUGGAUGCAGAGGAGUGGUGGGAGGUACCAGCUGGGGCACCCUCAAGGGAAGAAGACUCGGAGCCAGGGGAUUGGUGGUGGGACAUGGUCAGAGGGAGAAGAAGGAACAAACUGGGAGGAGGAUGUGUCAGAAGCUGAAGAGGUAACAGGGUUUAGUGAGUGGGGAGAUGCUGGGGCAGAGAGCAGUUCAGACUCAGAGGCAGAAGCAGAGGAUAGAGAGGAGGGGAGCCAAGAGGCAGCAAUGAGUCAGGUUGGUGAGGAAGUCAGGCUGUCUCCCCCUCCUGUGGUGACCAGCUCCCCUCUCUCCUGGCCUCCCAGAACCCAGAGAAGUAGGAAGAGGGUGGAGCAAAGACAGACAAGAUGAAGGAGCCUCAGAUUACUUGGGAAGGAACCAGGGGAGGAGGAGACUUAGGGAGCUGUGGGAAGGCAGGGUACUUUAGUCCUUGCAACUGCCUCAUUGGGCAAGACCUACUAGAAAGAGUUAAACAAUACAGGCUAGAAUUGAUUACCUGUGCCUAUGUAUGUGAAAAGACUUCAAUCUCUUUCGGAGGAGAGAUUCCCCGCUAUGUCUUACACAGAAUGGGAACAGACCAAAUGCUGGAAGGCUGGCAUCCAACGCCUCUUGUCCCCAUAUCAAUUACAAGAUCUUCAGGUGACCAUGAAGAUGGAGAAGAGGCACUUGAGAGACUAUCUCUUUAGGUCCGAUGCAGAAAGGGAUUUAACCAUGAUUGCUUCUACCAAGAGCUCACCAUGGUUCCCACAUAUCAAAACGGAGCAUGCCCGUGCCAGAUACCUGACAAAGCUCCCACUUGCCAUACUGAGAAUCGCUUUUACAGAACUACGAUUCCAAUCGAUGCCCUUGGCACUGUUGGAUAGACAGUACGGCAAAGUACAUUACAAAGAGAGAUUCUGUCUAUGUGGACACCCCUGUGUCGAGGACAUGUGCCAUUAUUUAUUGCAGUGCCCGUUAUAUAUAGACCCAAGAGACCGAUUUAUAAAAGCCCCUGUUUACGAAUGGAACACAUCUGAUGAGCGACACCGAUGACUUUAUUACUUAUAAAGUAGCACUCUAUGCACUGUGUAGAGCUGCAUGCUUGCUAGAUCAGGAGGCACCUACUUCUCUUAAAGAUAUAUUUACUGAGUUGCUUGAGAAAAAUGAAGAUGGCCUGUCUAGUCAUCAUAUUGCAUGAUGUAACUGCAUGUGAUCUCGCAACUGGCCUUCAUUUUAUUUUAUACCUUGGGCUAGGCCUGUACAUUGCUUAUGUGUGGAAGCUCCUAGUUAUAGAGCGAAGAUAUCAUCAGGACAUUUCCCAACAAUGAAGUGUUCAAAGAGUAAAUACAACAAUGGUGAGAAGUGCUUGAAUAGGUGGGGGGAAAGAUUCCAGAGGUAUGGUUAAAUAUUUGUUUUAAAGAUUAUUAAAACUGUAGUCUACAAACUCAUUUUUGGAUUGAGCCCACUUUCAUCCUCUUGACUUGAGCUGCAACCGAGGCACCUCAAAUCCAAGUAUUUUGGUUUUACAUGUCAGGUUUCCUAUCAAAGGCCUUGUAAAUUUAUCUUUGGGGUGUGCUGGGAUGGCUCUUAAGCAGAGUGAAGCAACUGCUUUGGGCAGCAGAUGGCAGGGCUCAAAAUGGAAUUAAGGCAAAAGGCUGUAUUACAUAUGUACUGCAAAAAUAAAAAUAUUCAAGCCAUUAAAUGUAAAACUGCACUCUUGUAACCAUGUGACAGCCAAGGGUGUUAUUCAACAUAGCACUAAGUUGGAUGUGUGUGUGAAUGGAAUGAAAUACCGUACUGGGAAUUGUAGUUCUAUGAAGGGCAAACUACAGUAUCCAGGAUUCUUUGGAAAGGGGAGAUCGGUGCUUUAAAUGUAUGGUGUGUACACAGCCUUGGUUUGACUCUAUUAAUGCAAGCGUUUUAGUCAUUUCCCCUUGGUAUUAUUUGUCUUUUGUGUAGGGACUGCAAGGCUUGUCUGUGAUAAGAGGUGAUCUGUAGUGGAUCCUCCAUAAGCUCCAUAAUGAACUGCUUUACACCAAGUCGGCCCCAUGGCCCAUCUCACCCAGUACAGUCAUACCUUAGAUCUCAAACGCCUUGGCUCCCAAACAAAUCGGCUCCCGAACGAUUGAAACCCGGAAGUGAGUGUUCUGGUUUUUGAACAUUCUUUUGGAAGCCGAAGGUCUGACGGGGCUUCUGUGGCUUCCAAUUGGCUGCAGGAGCUUCCUGCAGCCAAUCAGAAGACACGCUUUGGUUUCCGAAUGUUUUGGAAGUCGAACGGACUUCCGGAACAGAUUCCGGACUUUAUUGACUACCCUGAGUAGCAGCAGUACUCCAGGAUUGCAGAGAGGUCAGUUACAUCACCUGCUACUUCAUCUUUAAAAUUGAGAGGCUAGGAGGUUGAAUUAGGACCUUCUUCACGCAAAAUAUGUCUUGCUCUACUACCAAGCUAUGGUCUUUUUCUAAAUAAUAAUUUUGGGGGUUUGGGGUGGGUGCUGAGUGCUGAACUAACACUCUUGCCAAGCAGCCUCCCCUUGUUUAUUCAUUGGAGAGGUAUGUUGAUAGUUGGCCAACAGAAGUGCUGCUUCUGAAAGGGGGAAAGAGUCUGUAGUCUCUUCUGUACUCUUAAAAGGUCUCAGGAAUACUUUGACAUUGACCUCUCGUUGUCCAAGGAUUUUGUGUGCUGGUUUGAGUCAACAUGUUGAUAAUGAUCAUAGCUGGGCUGCUUUCUCUUCUGCAGUCACUUCCUGCUCAUGCGGUGUAGGUCUUUCUGAAUAAACACACGGGGGAAUAUUUGCUCUGCAUCCAAUAAACAGGCCCAUGAUGUUUACCUGAAGUAAACAUUGUAUCUCGGCCUGUGAGCCAUCUGUACAAGAAUCUAGAUGAUGGAACAGAUGGAUCAGAAUUAGAAAUAUGGAUCCAGUCUGCCUUGUUUGACCAUUAAAAUGUUUGCUCCUUCAAAAAGAGGGGAGUGAGUAGCUUCAGCAAAACAUUCCUUGUUUGUUACCUCUCCCUGGUUUUUGAAUGAGAUAGCUACGUGACUCUACGGACAACUAGCAGGCUCUGAUUUCUAAACAGGAGGUGGUCCAGGGCACCAUUUCAGAGAUUCCUUUCUCAGCCAGUGAACUAAUGCUUGGAUUCUGGAAGGCUGCAACAGAUCUUUUGGAAACAAAUCUUAUGCAUGCCCAGUUAGUGGACAGAUAGCUUCCCUAUCAGUCCUAAACAAAGUUGACAUCUUCCAGUGUUUUGACUCUCUUUGAAUAUGUGCUCUUGAAGUAAAAUCUUGAAGUAAAAGUCUUCUCAUAGAUGAAGCCUUACUGAUACCAUUCUAUAAAUCUGUCAUGUGCCUGCAUUUGGAAUACAGUGGUACCUCAGGUUACAUAUGCUUCAGGUUACAGACUCCGCUAACCCAGAAAUAUUACCUUGGGUUAAGAACUUUGCUUCAGGAUGAGAACAGAAAUCGUGCUCCGGCGGCGAGGCGGCAGCGGGAGGCCCCAUUAGCUAAAGCGGUGCUUCAGGUUAAGAACAGUUUCAGGUUAAGAAUGGACCUCCGGAACGAAUUAAGUACUUAACCCGAGGUACCACUGUACUGUGUACAGUUCUGGUUACCUCAAAAAUAAUACUGUAGAACUGGAAAUUAUCUAGGGGGUGGAGCAAUUCCCCUUGAGGAAAGGUUGCAGAGUUUGAGACUUCAGUUUAGGAAAAAAGGCAAGUAAGAUGAUGUAUAAAAGUAUUUAAAAUUAUGUAUGGCAGGGAGAAAGUGGAGAGAAUAAAGUUUUUUGCCCCACCCCACUGCUCAUAACACUAGAACUGAAUGUUGGAAAAUUUAGGACAGAUAACAGAAAAAAAACAUUCUUCACACAGAACAUAGUUAAAAUACAGAACUCUCUCUCCCACAGGAGGCAACAAUGGAGACCAAUCUAGAUGACUUUAAAAGAGGAUUAGACAAAUUUACGGAGAAGAGGGCUACUGAAGGCUACUAGCCAUAGUUGGAGGCAGCAAUGCUUUUGAAUACCAGUUGCUGGAAACCACAGAAGGAAAGAGGGCUCUUGUGCUUGGGUCUUGCUUGUGGGAUGGCCACUGUGAGAACAGGAUGCUGGAGCAGAUGGGCCAUUGGCCUGAUUCAGCAGGCUCUUCUUCUACCUUUGCAAUCUCCAGCAACAUCUGGAGAGCACAGGUUGCCCACCCGAGUGUGAGCCGUAACCUGCUCCUCCCACUCCUGCCUGGACAUGUCACAUAGCUUGCCAUCUGUGGCAUGGAUGCUGCAGUUGGCCACCCGUGUGUCAGCAUGUUAGACUGUCAGUCAAGUUUCUUUUGAGUGCAGGAACAGCUGGCAGAGCUGACUGGGUGGGUGGGUCUCUCCAUUUAUCAAUGUCACCCUCUGGGGUGGUCCUCUGCGUCGCUGCUCUUCCUGCUGCACUCAGACUCUCUUUCAGAUGUUCACUUCAAAGGGGUCCCAAUGAGAUGCAUGGUACCGAAUAAACCACAGGCUCUGC
rnacentral:lncRNA from 1 species